rnacentral:rRNA from 1 species
GUAGCAAUGUCCUUCUGGGGGGAAAUUUGGUAGGUGACAGCACUUACCCAUCGUCAUCUAACCUCAAAAAGCUAAGCAGAGUAGGGCCUGGCUAGUAUUUGGAUAGGAGACCACCAGGAAAUCCUGGGGCAGCAGGCU